ACGUAGGGUGCGAGCGUUGUCCGGAAUUAUUGGGCGUAAAGAGCUCGUAGGCGGCUUGUCGCGUCGGAUGUGAAAGCCCGGGGCUUAACUCCGGGUCUGCAUUCGAUACGGGCAGGCUAGAGUUCGGUAGGGGAGAUCGGAAUUCCUGGUGUAGCGGUGAAAUGCGCAGAUAUCAGGAGGAACACCGGUGGCGAAGGCGGAUCUCUGGGCCGAUACUGACGCUGAGGAGCGAAAGCGUGGGGAGCGAACAGG
rnacentral:rRNA from 1 species